rnacentral:rRNA from 1 species
UACGUAGGUGGCAAGCGUUGUCCGGAUUUACUGGGCGUAAAGCGCGCGCAGGCGGUUCGUCACGUCCGAGGUGAAAUCUCCCGGCUCAACUGGGAGGGGUCUUCGGAUACGGGCGGAGUUGAGGAGAGCAGGGGUGAGUGGAAUUCUGGGUGUAGUGGUGAAAUGCGUAGAUAUCCAGAGGAACACCAGUGGCGAAUGCGACUCACUGGGCUCCACCUGACACUGAGGCGCGAAAGCGUGGGGAGCGCACCGU